GGUCGUCCGCGCACAGCAUGCCGUCGCCGGCGUCGAUGAGCGCACGCCACGCGCGGCAGACGCAGCGGGACACGGCCAGGCUUCGUGGCGGCAGCCGGCGGAGGACGUCCGCGAGCACGUCGUCGGGCGAGUUUUAAGGACUUCCGAUUGGUCCAAUUGGCGCGAGUUUAGGGGGCGAACGCGGCAUGUAUACGGUGUGAGUCUCCCGUCGAGUUCGGAAUCGACUGGCAGAAAUCGGACUAGGAGCCAGUGUCGAUUUAAUUAAAUCAGAGUCGAUAAAACAUUCAGUCGACGUCUAUUACAGUAUAGUUGUAAGUGAUCCAGAAUCAAAUGCCUAUGUUCAUCUA